rnacentral:tRNA from 1 species
GCGGUCGUGGCCGAGCGGUUAAGGCGUCUCACUAGAAAUCAGAUUCCCUCUGGGAGCGUAGGUUCGAGUCCUACCGACCGCA